GGAGUUUGGUCCGUGUCUCAGUACCAAUGUGGGGGGUUAACCUCUCAGUCCCCCUAUGUAUCGUCGUCUUGGUGAGCCGUUACCUCACCAACUAACUAAUACAACGCAUGUCCAUCUUAAACCGCCGGAACUUUCAACUUCAGAAGAUGCCUCCUAAAGUGUUAUGGGGAAUUAGUACCAAUUUCUCAGUGUUAUGCCCCUGUUUAAGGUAGGUUACAUACGCGUUACGCACCCGUGCGCCGGUCGCCGGCAAAAGUAGCAAGCUACUUUCCCGCUGCCCCUCGACUUGCAUGUGUUAGGCCUGCCGCUAGCGUUCAUC
rnacentral:rRNA from 1 species